rnacentral:rRNA from 1 species
CCUACGGGUGGCAGCAGUGAGGAAUAUUGGUCAAUGGCCGUAAGGCUGAACCAGCCAAGUCGCGUGAAGGAAGAAGGACCUAUGGUUUGUAAACUUCUUUUAUCGGGGAAUAAAGGUAUCCACGUGUGGAUAUUUGCAUGUACCCUAUGAAUAAGCAUCGGCUAACUCCGGGCCAGCAGCCGCGGUUAUACGGAGGAUGCGAGCGUUUAUCGGAUUUAUUGGGUUUAAAGGGUGCGUAGGGUGGUUUUUAAGGUAGCGGUGAAAGUGUGUGGCUCAACCAUAAAAUUGCCGUUGAAACUGGAAGACUUGAGUGGGUGAGAGGUAGGCGGAAUGCGUGGUGUAGCGGUGAAAUGCAUAGAUAUCACGCAGAACUCCGAUUGCGAAGGCAGCUUACUAGGCCAUAACUGACACUGAAGCACGAAAGCGUGGGGAUCAAACAGGAUUAGAUACCCUGGUAGUC